UUAGUACUUGAAAUUGAAAUGAAAAAUAAGCUUUAUUCCUCCUGGCCAAUUCUUAGGAGAGAACUUUGAGCGGGGAAAUGAAGUUGAUUAGCAUGAAGCAAGAGUGAUCGAGCGAGUGGUAGAUGAUUAGGGUAGCCUAGAUGGAUGUAUAUUCAUGGUUCCGACGAAGCCUCUCUAGAACUGCAAAGACCACCACCACCACCACAACUGUUACUGCUCAACCGGACGACGAACUACUCUACGGCGUCACUGACCAAUUACUCGAUUUUAUCAAAUCCUUCUCCAUUGACACCUUUCGAAAUUUCUCUCUCCCAGAUGAGGACGAUGGAGAUGCACCCGAGAAUGUACGGAAAGAUCUAUCCGAUUGGCAACAGCGUCAUGCUUUGCUUGUUCUCUCCAAACUCAAGGAACUCUCACAAUUGAGGUUCAAAUUAUGUCCCCGUUUUUUAAAGGAUCACCAAUUUUGGACGAUAUAUUUUGCUCUCGUUAAGGGUUUUGUUGCCAAAUAUGAGCUACGUGCUAUACAAUUAGAUAAGCUCAAACAGAUGAGAUUAGAAAGUGAAAAUACACCAGAUGUUGCUGCAUGCGAAGUUGAGAUGUCUGAAGCGAAGAAAACAACAGAUCUAUCGCCUACAAUUUCUGAGGAGCACAAUUAGUAUAUCCUUUGGAUAUGUCACUAGUUAUCAGAUUCCAGCACAAUGAUUCAGGCUCGCGGGAAGACGUUUCACUAAGUUUCUCUGCUUUCAAUAUUGUGGUUUUCAUGUGUCAAAACAGCCUCUUUUACUAACAGCCAUGACAAGCAUGCCACCUUCAGAGAUGGUGCUGAUGUCUCUGCCGCAUUGCUGACAAUCGGUGCAAGUUACAAGAAGGAGGUCAGUUGUUUUGCGUUUCUUUAAAAAAACGACUACAAAUUAUGCAUGACAACAGUUGUUUUCAUGUAUCAAACUACCACAAAGAAUUUGAGGAAAACGAAGUCUUAAGGUUCUUGUUUUCUGUUUAAGUCUCAUACUUAGUUCAUGAUAAAAUGCAGCUGAUCAAACAUUAGAAAACAUAUGGUUGAGCAUGUUUAUGCUAUAAUUUUUCUUGAAGUAACAUUAUCUACAUGACCUUUAACAUUAAUUAAUUUUGGUCUCGUGUAAACAUUAGAGGAACUUCUAUUAUCAACCUCCAUGUUAGUCUUGCAAUCAAA